CGGUGAAUACGUUCCCGGGCUUGUACACACCGCCCGUCACACCACGAAAGUUAAUUGGACCAGAAAUCGGGGGGGUCUUCCUCCGCUGAAGGUCUGAUUAGUGAUUGGGGUG
rnacentral:rRNA from 1 species